rnacentral:rRNA from 1 species
UCAGUCGACUCCUACGGGGAGGCAGCAUGGGGGAAUAUUGCACAAUGGGGGAAACCCUGAUGCAGCCAUGCCGCGUGUGUGAAGAAGGCCUUCGGGUUGUAAAGCACUUUCAGUAGGGAGGAAGGUAGUGUAGUUAACACCUGCAUUAUUUGACGUUACCUACAGAAGAAGCGCCGGCUAACUCCGUGCCAGCAGCCGCGGUAAUACGGAGGGUGCGAGCGUUAAUCGGAAUUACUGGGCGUAAAGCGCAUGCAGGCGGCCUGUUAAGUCAGAUGUGAAAGACCCGGGGCUUAACCUCGGAAUUGCAUUUGAAACUGGCAGGCUAGAGUCUUGUAGAGGGGGGUAGGAAUUUCAGGUGUAGCGGUGAAAUGCGUAGAGAUCUGAAGGAAUACCAGUGGCGAAGGCGGCCCCCUGGACAAAGACUGACGCUCAGAUGCGAAAGCGUGGGGAGCAAACAGGAUUAGAUACCCUGGUAG